rnacentral:rRNA from 1 species
UGUAGCAAGGUUAACCGAAUAGGGGAGCCGAAGGGAAACCGAGUCUUAACUGGGCGUUAAGUUGCAGGGUAUAGACCCGAAACCCGGUGAUCUAGCCAUGGGCAGGUUGAAGGUUGGGUAACACUAACUGGAGGACCGAACCGACUAAUGUUGAAAAAUUAGCGGAUGACUUGUGGCUGGGGGUGAAAGGCCAAUCAAACCGGGAGAUAGCUGGUUCUCCCCGAAAGCUAUUUAGGUAGCGCCUCGUGAAUUCAUCUCCGGGGGUAGAGCACUGUUUCGGCAAGGGGGUCAUCCCGACUUACCAACCCGAUGCAAACUGCGAAUACCGGAGAAUGUUAUCACGGGAGACACACGGCGGGUGCUAACGUCCGUCGUGAAGAGGGAAACAACCCAGACCGCCAGCUAAGGUCCCAAAGUCAUGGUUAAGUGGGAAACGAUGUGGGAAGGCCCAGACAGCCAGGAUGUUGGCUUAGAAGCAGCCAUCAUUUAAAGAAAGCGUAAUAGCUCACUGGUCGAGUCGGCCUGCGCGGAAGAUGUAACGGGGCUAAACCAUGCACCGAAGCUGCGGCAGCGACACUGUGUGUUGUUGGGUAGGGGAGCGUUCUGUAAGCCUGUGAAGGUGUGCUGUGAGGCAUGCUGGAGGUAUCAGAAGUGCGAAUGCUGACAUAAGUAACGAUAAAGCGGGUGAAAAGCCCGCUCGCCGGAAGACCAAGGGUUCCUGUCCAACGUUAAUCGGGGCAGGGUGAGUCGACCCCUAAGGCGAGGCCGAAAGGCGUAGUCGAUGGGAAACAGGUUAAUAUUCCUGUACUUGGUGUUACUGCGAAGGGGGGACGG